rnacentral:rRNA from 1 species
GACGAACGCUGGCGGCGUGCUUAACACAUGCAAGUCGAACGGAAAGGCCCUGCUUUUGUGGGGUGCUCGAGUGGCGAACGGGUGAGUAACACGUGAGUAACCUGCCCUUGACAAUGGGAUAACUUCAGGAAAAUGGGGCUAAUACCGGAUAGGAGCUCCUGCUGCAUGGUGGGGGUUGGAAAGUUUCGGCGGUUGGGGAUGGACUCGCGGCUUAUCAGCUUGUUGGUGGGGUAGUGGCUUACCAAGGCUUUGACGGGUAACCGGCCUGAGAGGGUGACCGGCCACAUUGGGACUGAGAUACGGCCCAGACUCCUACGGGAGGCAGCAGGGGGGAAUAUUGCACAAUGGGCGGAAGCCUGAUGCAGCAACGCCGCGUGCGGGAUGACGGCCUUCGGGUUGUAAACCGCUUUCGCCUGUGACGAAGCGUGAGUGACGGUAAUGGGUAAAGAAGCACCGGCUAACUACGUG